UCCAGUAACAUUCGUCUCCCCUUCCUCCCGUCCCCGGCUCCCCGUCGCUCUCCGUCUCCGCUCCCCCGCUCCCUUCCCUUUCCAACGUCCCAUCUCGAUCCACCCCGUCGAGCGCGUCCCCCAGGUCUCUGAUUUACCACACCCCGCGCCCCGGUGCGCGUCCACUCAGCUGCGAUCGCCCGCUCGAUCGCUACGAGCUAACUCGCUGUUGCUUGUUGCCUGAUUGCUAGCUAGCUAGCUCUCUCUCACUUGCAUGGAUCCAUCCGGGCCUGGCCCGUCGUUGGCCGCGGGGGGAGGAGGCGGAGGUGGCGGUGGCACGCCGUCCGUGGCGCCGCAGAGGCCGGCGCAGCUGAGCAGGUACGAGUCGCAGAAGCGGCGGGACUGGAACGCGUUCCUGCAGUACCUGCGGAACCACCGGCCGCCGCUGACGCUGGCGCGGUGCAGUGGCGCGCACGUGAUCGAGUUCCUCAGGUACCUGAACCAGUUCGGAAAGACCAAGGUGCACGCCGCGGGGUGCGCCUACUACGGCCAGACCAGCCCGCCGGGCCCCUGCCCCUGCCCUCUGCGGCAGGCGUGGGGGUCACUCGACGCGCUCAUCGGCCGCCUGCGCGCGGCCUACGAGGAGAGCGGCGGCACGCCCGAGUCCAACCCCUUCGCCGAGCGCGCCGUGCGGAUCUACCUCCGCGAUGUGCGCGACUCCCAGGCCAAGGCGCGCGGCAUCCCGUACGAGAAGAAGAAGCGCAAGCGCGCUCAGGCCGCGGCGGCCGUCGAGCCGUCCAGCUCGUCCGCUGCUGCCGCCGCCCCAGGCGGCGGCGGCGGGAGCAGCAGUGGCGCUGCAGCUGCGCCCGCUUCUCAAGCUGGAGGGAUCGGCACUGCACCGGGCACCUCUUGAGUACAGUAGACCUGCAGAUCUUGUUUAAUUAUCAGAUCGAUGAAGAAGAUGAACAGUGGUUCCCCUUGUCUAUAGGCUCCUAGCCUUAGCUAGCCUUUUUCACUCGCUUUCUUAACAAAGGGCGGUGGGCUAAGCCAGGCUUGCUCGUGUGCGCACUAGGCCUGGGAGGAAAAGGUUAAGCCCAGGAGCCGCUGCUUCCCUCCGUGUCCUGUGAUCCUGUCCAUUUGUUGCAACCAUGGCUCCGGCGGGCCCUAGCACUGUUUAUAUGGUUGUUUUCUGGAAGCUAGCAUGGAGAAAUGGGUUAGCAACACGUCAUCCACUUUUGCACCAUCAUAAAUAAUUUAGAGUGGUGUGGUAAUAAUAAAUUACUAGUUGCUAGUGUCGUUGCUAGAUAGUUUUAACAAUGCCCUAGAGCAGUUAAGCUCUGGUUCUUUUAACGCUAGAAUGUUCUAAAAUGUUAGUGUGUAGGUUUAUUCUUAUAAUAUAUCUGUGUUUUUUGGUUGCUUCCGCAUAGCCUAUGUUACGAGGAGUUGCUAUGAGGCGUAGUCGAGUAACAUUCCAGUCAAUUGUGAGUCCUAGGGUGUUACAAUGAUAUAACUAAGAUUUUUAUGGACAUGAGAGAACACAAUGUUAAAAAUCUAUAGUAGUAUUGUAAUAUCUUAUUUAUGUAAGACCUUAUUUAUGAAUAAUUUAUAUUGUAAUUUUCCAAAAAUUAAACUUAUCUGUUGAAUUUAUGAUAUAUUUUUUAAUAUAUCUGUAUUGUGCUUCUAGGAAUUUUUACUUAUAUAUUGAUUCUACGAUCUUAUGAAAAGUUGGUGCCUAUCUAAUAUAAAAAUCCUAGCUUCGUCAAUGCUGUCAUAGUGCCAUCAACGUCUUUUUUAGAUUUUUCGCAUCGGUCUCCUUUGCUCUGCCGCGCUCAUUCGGCUCCACCGUGCAAUUGCAUUGUAGCU